rnacentral:lncRNA from 1 species
CCCCACGCACAAAAAAUCCGAUAGAUGCUCCUCUUUAUACGUUCUUAGUGCACGAUAAAAGCAUUAUAAUUACGAUAAUGCUAGCACCCGUUCACAUGCUUUUCCCCUCUCUGAUGUGGUAGGUUAUAUUUUUUUUUUUCUUUUUUGAUGGAAUAUGGAAGAAGUAAGGUACUUCCCCACUCAAAUUAAAUUAAUUUAAAGUAAGCAUAUGAACAAAAGAAAAGAAGAUCUAAGGAGAUACAUGAGAAGAGAAGAAGAAAUUAAGGUGAAGCUACAGCAAAUAUAUAAGUCCAAAUUUAAUGAUUUCCUCC